CCUACGGGAGGCAGCAGUGGGGAAUUUUGGACAAUGGGCGCAAGCCUGAUCCAGCAAUGCCGCGUGCAGGAAGAAGGCCUUCGGGUUGUAAACUGCUUUUGUACGGAACGAAACGGUCUGGGUUAAUACCCUGGGCUAAUGACGGUACCGUAAGAAUAAGCACCGGCUAACUACGUGCCAGCAGCCGCGGUAAUACGUAGGGUGCAAGCGUUAAUCGGAAUUACUGGGCGUAAAGCGUGCGCAGGCGGUCUUGUAAGACAGGCGUGAAAUCCCCGGGCUCAACCUGGGAAUUGCGCUUGUGACUGCAAGGCUGGAGUGCGGCAGAGGGGGAUGGAAUUCCGCGUGUAGCAGUGAAAUGCGUAGAUAUGCGGAGGAACACCGAUGGCGAAGGCAAUCCCCUGGGCCUGCACUGACGCUCAUGCACGAAAGCGUGGGGAGCAAACAGGAUUAGAUACCCUGGUAGUCCACGCCCUAAACGAUGUCAACUGGUUGUUGGGUAUUUACUUACUCAGUAACGAAGCUAACGCGUGAAGUUGACCGCCUGGGGAGUACGGCCGCAAGGUUGAAACUCAAAUGAAUUGACGG
rnacentral:rRNA from 1 species